rnacentral:rRNA from 1 species
UACGUAGGCAGCAAGCGUUGUUCGGAAUUACUGGGCGUAAAGAGUGUGUAGGCGGUGCUCUAAGUUCGGUGUGAAAUCUCCGGGCUCAACCUGGAAACUGCCAUUGAUACUAUUAGUCUUGAAUAUUGUUGAGGUAGGCGGAAUAAGUCAUGUAGCGGUGAAAUGCAUAGAUAUGACUUAGAACACCAAUUGCGAAGGCAGCUUGCUAAACAAUGAUUGACGCUGAGGCACGAAAGCGUGGGGAUCAAACAGG